rnacentral:rRNA from 1 species
CCUACGGGUGGCAGCAGUGAGGAAUAUUGGUCAAUGGCCGGAAGGCUGAACCAGCCAUGCCGCGUGAAGGUCAGUGCCCUAUGGGCGUUAAACUUCUUUUGUGCGGGAGCAAUAAUGGUCACGUGUGGCCAGACGAGAGUACCGUACGAAUAAGCAUCGGCUAACUCCGUGCCAGCAGCCGCGGUAAUACGGGGGAUGCAAGCGUUAUCCGGAUUUAUUGGGUUUAAAGGGUGCGUAGGCUGUGCGGUAAGUCAGCGGUGAAAUGCCCCCGCUCACCGGGGUGAAGUGCCAUUGAUACUGCCUGGCUGGAAUGCGGAUGCCGUGGGAGGAAUGUGUGGUGUAGCGGUGAAAUGCAUAGAUAUCACACAGAACACCGAUUGCGAAGGCAUCUCACGAAUCCGCGAUUGACGCUGAUGCACGAAAGCGUGGGUAUCAAACAGGAUUAGAUACCCCAGUAGUC